UGGCUGUCUGUGUGCAUGGAUGUCACUGUGUGUGUGUGUGAGUGUGUCUGUCAGUAAGUGAGUCUGUGUGUGUGUGUGUGUGUGUGUGUCUGUAAGGGAGCCUGUGUGUCUGUCAGUGAAUGUGUGUGUGUGUUGGAGUGAUUCUGUGUGUCUGUCAGUGUGUGUGUAUGUCUGUCAGUGAGUGUGUCUCAAUGAGUGUCUGUGAGG